UGUCACAAACCCGUAGAUCCGAUCUUGUGGCGUAAUCGGCAACCCAAGCUCGAUUCUGUGGGUCUCUGUCAC
rfam:Danio rerio chromosome 10, GRCz11 reference primary assembly.